GAUGAACGCUAGCUACAGGCUUAACACAUGCAAGUCGCGGGGCAGCAUGGGGGUUGCUUGCAAUCCCCGAUGGCGACCGGCGCACGGGUGAGUAACGCGUAUCCAACCUGCCCUUCACCACGGGAUAACCCGGCGAAAGUCGGACUAAUACCGUAUGUUGUCCAUUGACGGCAUCCGAUUUGGACGAAAGGUUUGGCGGUGAAGGAUGGGGAUGCGUCCGAUUAGCUGGACGGCGGGGUGACGGCCCACCGUGGCGACGAUCGGUAGGGGUUCUGAGAGGAAGGUCCCCCACACUGGAACUGAGACACGGUCCAGACUCCUACGGGAGGCAGCAGUGAGGAAUAUUGGUCAAUGGGCGUAAGCCUGAACCAGCCAAGUAGCGUGCAGGAUGACGGCCCUAUGGGUUGUAAACUGCUUUUAUGCGGGGAUAAAGUGGCCCACGUGUGGGUUUUUGCAGGUACCGCAUGAAUAAGGACCGGCGAAUUCCGU
rnacentral:rRNA from 1 species